rnacentral:rRNA from 1 species
UACGUAGGGUGCGAGCGUUGUCCGGAAUUAUUGGGCGUAAAGGGCUCGUAGGCGGUUUGUCGCGUCGGGAGUGAAAACAUCCAGCUUAACUGGGUGCUUGCUUUCGAUACGGGCAGACUUGAGGUAUGCAGGGGAGAAUGGAAUUCCUGGUGUAGCGGUGAAAUGCGCAGAUAUCAGGAGGAACACCGGUGGCGAAGGCGGUUCUCUGGGCAUUACCUGACGCUGAGGAGCGAAAGUGUGGGGAGCGAACGGG